GAGCUUGCUCCUCUGACGUUGGCGGCGGACGGGUGAGUAACACGUGGAUAACCUACCUAUAAGACUGGGAUAACUUCGGGAAACCGGAGCUAAUACCGGAUAAUAUAUUGAACCGUAUGGUUCAAUAGUGAAAGACGGUUUUGCUGUCACUUAUAGAUGGAUCCGCGCCGCAUUAGCUAGUUGGUAAGGUAACGGCUUACCAAGGCAACGAUGCGUAGCCGACCUGAGAGGGUGAUCGGCCACACUGGAACUGAGACACGGUCCAGACUCCUACGGGAGGCAGCAGUAGGGAAUCUUCCGCAAUGGGCGAAAGCCUGACGGAGCAACGCCGCGUGAGUGAUGAAGGUCUUCGGAUCGUAAAACUCUGUUAUUAGGGAAGAACAAAUGUGUAAGUAACUAUGCACGUCUUGACGGUACCUAAUCAGAAAGCCACGGCUAACUACGUGCCAGCAGCCGCGGUAAUACGUAGGUGGCAAGCGUUAUCCGGAAUUAUUGGGCGUAAAGCGCGCGUAGGCGGUUUUUUAAGUCUGAUGUGAAAGCCCACGGCUCAACCGUGGAGGGUCAUUGGAAACUGGAAAACUUGAGUGCAGAAGAGGAAAGUGGAAUUCCAUGUGUAGCGGUGAAAUGCGCAGAGAUAUGGAGGAACACCAGUGGCGAAGGCGACUUUCUGGUCUGUAAC
rnacentral:rRNA from 1 species